UACGUAGGUGACAAGCGUUGUCCGGAUUUACUGGGCGUAAAGAGCGCGCAGGCGGUCGUUCAAGUCGAGUGUGAAAUCCCCGAGCUUAACUUGGGAAUUGCGCUCGAAACUACGAUGCUCGAGUGUGGCAGAGGAAGGUGGAAUUCCACGUGUAGCGGUGAAAUGCGUAGAGAUGUGGAGGAACACCGAUGGCGAAGGCAGCCUUCUGGGCCAACACUGACGCUCAUGCACGAAAGCGUGGGGAGCAAACAGG
rnacentral:rRNA from 1 species